UUUUUGAGGCUGUUUGGCUACACGUUGUUACCAAUUAAGCAAAAAACUAACAAGAAAUUCUGAUUAAUAGAUUUAUAGUUUUGUCGCCACAAUUCUGUAUAGGUUAAUAGAUAUUCAGCAUCUGGAAUUCCAUUAACGUGACUACAACGACCUAGAAAUUAUGAUUCGUGUGUACUUUAGGUUUAUGCCCAACCUCAUUUACUGUCCAUUUGGCGGAAUCGGUGAGAAAAGAAAAGAAAUUGUUGUGCUUUGAUUAAGAAAAGAAGAGAAAUUGUAGUGCUUUGAUUUAUUUACCAGUUAAAGAUGUUGGGAUGCUAGUCAUUUUUGUAAUGUUCAUAUUGACGUGUACAAAAAAAUUUUAAAAGCAAAUAGAUGUAUAAACGAAAUGGGUUCUGUAUCUAUAAUGGUGACCCUAGAUAUCAAAAUGGGUUGAUUCUUUUUUUUUCUUUUUUCUUUCCCAUUUCUGUGUUCUUCAGGACAUUUGGUGGUGUGGGUUGUUGGCCUGGUGCUUGAAUUUGGUUUUGUAAAACUUUGAAACAUCAUCAUAGUGCGAUUUUUUUUUCUUGGUUUGUCAAGGUUCUGUAUCUAUAGUGGUAACCAUGGCUAUCAAAAUGGCUGGUUUAUUCAUUUUCCCAUUUUUUGAGUUCUGUUUUGUGUUUCUGUGUUUUAAAUUCUAAACUGUGCGGACUGUGAUAUUCUUGCUUUGAGCAUUGGUAACAUUUCUAGGUCGAAUAGAUGCUUGAAUGCAAAUGAUGUCGGUCGGAUUGAAAGCAAGUAGAGCCGCUUGAGAAUUUAACCAGUUUUGAAAGUGUGUUUGAAAACUUAAAAAGUUUAAAAAGUGUAUUUUGGCAACCCGAAGUCGAGUAACUUGGUUCAUCUGACAGUCCUAUAUGUUGGGGCCUAGUAUUAGGAUGGAGCAAUGAAUACAUCUCCCUCAUGUUUACGGGCUUAUAUAGUAAGAAGCCAAUAGACACAAAUCCUACUCAUGAUCCAACCAACUCCUUGACUAGAUUAUGUUCACUAUGUAUAUGUCUAAGAGCUUGAAUGGGCCGUCUGUCGAGUUAGGUCUGCGCGUUAAAGCACCAUCAAGUUCUGUUAUCAGUCUCAUGAGCCUAAUUUUGGAAUCAUUGGUGGAAUGCCUACAACUUCAAAAUAUUAUCCCUUUAAAGGACCCUGAUUCACAGAAAUGUGUAAUCAAAUGUGAGGGCUUUGGCUGUGUUACUGUAUGUCGCUUACCAUUUUACAUGACAUAAAUCUGCUCUCUUUUGUCCACUGUUGAUUCAAGCUUUGGGUUUGAAUUCUGUCAUUUUAAAUAGAUUAACCAUUAGCUCAAAAGCCAAGUACCAUUUUUAUCUACCAUCCUGCCAUAUUGUAAAAGACACUUUCCUUAACUUCUUGUUUCUUAAUUUUUUUUGUCUUGUUGAAUAGUUUAACUUGAGACUUGUGUGUGCAUUACAUAGGUUUGCUACCUCCAUUAACUCACAAGUACCAUGCUUCCCUACCAUCCUAUCCUUAUUCUAGACGACUUAAACUUGGCCCAGAUUUGAUGCAGGAUUGUGGUGUGACACCAGUUGGUAGACAAGAAUGAUAAACCCGAAGUUCAACAAGCUUGAAACCGAUUUUUUGCAUCCAUCAGAAUACCAACCCAAAAUAAGGCCUCGAGACACCGCCGAUGUUUGGCCAGAUUUCAGAUUGUUUGUUCUAGCAGUUCUACCAAUAUGGCUUCCACCACUCCUCCAGCAACAACAUUCAAACACUAUCCUUACUCCUCCAACACAACCUUCAAAUACCAUGCAACUUGAAAUUUCCAAACUUGUGCAAACUUCCAUAUUCAGACAACAAUAACGCUACUGCUGCUGAGAAUUUGGCACAUUAAUGAAUUUGGCACAACACUGCUAAACUAACUUUAAAGCUGCUUUUGUUCAUUUAGGUUGAUCCUUAAUUUAGGUCUCCAAGUUUCAUAAAACUGUAAGCUUGGCUCAUGUUUCAUUUCUGUUUUUCAGUUGUUUUUCGGCAGAAUAACUUCUUUUUAAACACGGAAGGGUAAGAGAGUAAUUCCACUUACCACCCCCGAUAGGCAAUUGAGUUUAAGUUUGUGUGCGUGCGUGUGUUUAAGAGGGUCCUCAUACCCCUCCCUAGCAGGCAGAAUAACUUGUUGUGUCACUGUUUUGUUUGGUUCAUCUGAUAUUUGUUUUGGGGGAGGCUGACACUCAGAUUCUACCUGGCUCUGAGCUUGUUGCAAGUUAAUUAUGUCAUGAAGAGCUCGUAAACGCUUUAAUGGUUAACAGCUUACGCUUUGCUGCUUGACUUAGUAAUUUUUGCAAUCCUUGCUGUAGGAGAUUGAGAGAACUCACUUGAAUUGCUUCCCUAAAGUUGGAGAGAUCAGGGCAGAUGGAUUAAUGAUGAAACAAAAGAGGGACAAAGAGAAUUCCGCACCUGAACUCUGUACUUCAAUUGGCUUUUGGAAGGGUCCAUCUUUCAAAGAAACGGAAGAGGGUAUAGAAAAAUUACUUUCUACAUCCUACAGUGGAAGGGCUUGAGCAAAGCCUCGGUGUUGGAAAUGAAGGAGAUAUUGCUACAGAGAAAACUUUUUGCUUCUAUUACUAAAGGUGAUCAGAAUGAGGCUCGAAAAUCAAGUGCAUUAUUGGAGAACCCUAGUGAGACAUUUUCAGAAACUGUGUCAGUUUCAGGCGUCAUGAUGAAAUACUUUUCUGACUAUGAGGAGGUGACAUUUUGUUCUAAUUAUACAGCUAGAGCUUACAAAAGUUGACAUAGAGAGUAAAUGAAGGCUGCGACAGAUGAUAGUUGGUUAGAGGCAAAAGCUAGUGCAAUGCCACAGUUUACACCCAAAACUCCUCCAAGAAGUUUUCUUUCUAUGUUGCCUACUGAUCUAAGUUGCAAAACCUCGAGGAAUAACAUUAAGAGACCUGAUGUUGGUAAGCGUCUUGUCGUGGCCUCAAAUAAGCUUGGUAUUUCUGUAAGUAUGCGAAAAUCCGCCGCUGGUCUUUGUGGCCGUAGAGAUCGAAAAUUACUGGUGCCCAAAUCUUCUUCCCUUGUUAGAAGCAUACUCUUUGAAGUUGGUAGUUCUUAACUUCUUAUAAGGAGUCCGGAGGAUUCACACAAAGAACCUCAUUGAACUAAUUAUAUAGUGCAGGGGCAGUUGUCCCUGAUCAUUGAAUAAUCUUCAUCUUGACCUUUUGCUGAUGACCUUCCUUAAUUGCGAUCGCUUCCAAGAGCAGGUAAGAGAUUUUCUUGCUGGGUGGGAGCUGAAAAGAUUGAAACUUUGAGCCUUGAGGACUUCUGGACUCAGUCUCCCGUAAAUAUUUCGUUCAGUUGGAGACUCGAGACCCUUCUCAGGCUUGGCUUUUGGUUUGGGUACCAUUCCUAUGCAGUACAUUAUGCAUCAACUGAAGUGUAUCGAAAGAGUCAUUUGUGUGUUGACGAUUCCUCUUCAUCUCAAUAGCAUAUAUCCAAUUUAGAAUUUUGGUGAGACGAAUCAGUUGUUUGGAAUGAUGCUCUGGGUUGUGUGGGACUUCACCAAUCCUGUUUCUGUAUCAUUCUUUCUAUCUUUUAGUUUCUGGAUUUUGGUUUUGCGUGGUAUAGAUGGCUGGUGUUUUGUGUUGCUUGAACGCUUUUGUUGAGUUUUGUGCCUGAAAAAUGUAGGUAAUGGGGAAUGGUACCAUGAAAAUUUAGAAUUUGAUCUGGAUGUUUCUGUUGUAUAAAGUAUGGAAGUUUUUU